CUUACCUUAAUCUGUUAUGUACACGUGUGACGUACGACGUCAACCGUCCCUCUGGCGGUUAGGCUGAAGUAAGCUAGCUCACGUGCUAAUGUUGACUCAGAAGUACCGUUAGCUCCUGUUGUCCGUCAGUCGACAGCGGUGACUUCGCUGUGCUCUUGGAGUUCCUGCGAGGCGAGGCGAAGCGGCCGCCCUUCUGCUGGAGGUAUCGUCGGCUGUUCCUGCGGUAGGUGUCCUGGGUGAGCCGCUGACGAGUCUUGUUGUGGAUGCUUUUGGCAUUUCGGAUGGUGGACCUGAGACCCAGUAAAGGACGCACAAAUUUGCACAGGUCUGUGUCCUUCGAUCCUACCUGACGACCCACCAGCCGUCCAGCAGCUUAUGAAUGACCUCGAUGGUUUCACCCAGCUCCAGAGAGAUCUCGUCCUCCUGCUCCGCCUUGUAGGCGUUGAUGGUGAUGUGCAGCU